rnacentral:rRNA from 1 species
AGCGAACGCUGGCGGCAGGCUUAACACAUGCAAGUCGAGCGGGCAUAGCAAUAUGUCAGCGGCAGACGGGUGAGUAAAGGGUGGGAACGUACCUUUUGGUUCGGAACAACUGGGGGAAACUUCAGGUAAUAACGGAUAAACCCUUAAGGGGAAAGAUUUAUCGACGAAAGAUCGGCCCGCGUCUGAUUAGCUAGUUGGUGAGGUAAUGGCUAAACAAGGCGACGAUCAGUAGCUGGUCUGAGAGGAUGAUCAGCCACAUUGGGACUGAGACACGGCCCAAACUCCUACGGGAGGCAGCAGUGGGGAAUAUUGGACAAUGGGCGCAAGCCUGAUCCAGCCAUGCCGCGUGAGUGAUGAAGGCCCUAGGGUUGUAAAGCUCUUUUGUGCGGGAAGAUAAUGACGGUACCGCAAGAAUAAGCCCCGGCUAACUUCGUGCCAGCAGCCGCGGUAA